GGUGGUGCUGCUGGGAAGAAGGAAGAGGUCAGCCGCGUCCCUGGGGUGCCGGUGGAGCCGCUCCUCCGUGAGAUCCGGCCGCGGAGAGAGCCAUGGUGACCCAGCCCUUCUCCUCCCGCGUCCCUUUCUUUAUCACCAAGCUCGCGUUGGUGCUCUUGUUGACUUCUUCCUCCUCCUCGGCGCUCAACAGGUUAGGCGAGGCUGCUGGUGGGGCGAAGAAGCAGGGGAGGCAGGCGACAAGGACGAGAAGCAGCGGGUUGUCGUGGUGCGAUGGUGCUGCUGGGAAGAAAGUGGAGGUCAGCCGCGUCCCUGUGGUGCCGGCGGAACUGCUCCUCUCAAGCAGGUGCACACACUCUUGUCAUCUUCCUAAUUUCCCUCCUCCUUCCAGUGUAUUUGUUUGUGCAGAUUUUGUUUCUGUACGCCUACAAGGUGUUCGAUGAAAGUCUUAGUAGGCUGGAGGGAAGGAGUGCUCUAUGUAACCAUGUGAUUUUAUUCUUCCAAAAACCGCCUAACGGUGUUUGAUGAAUGUCCUAGAAGUCUAGAGGAGAGGAGUGAUCUAUGUAUGUGAUUUCAUUCUUAAAAAAAUCAGUUCCAGUCAGUUAUAACAAGAUGAUUUUGUGAUUAACAAGAAUCCAUGAGGUAAAUAAAAGUGUAAAGAACAAAAAAAC
rnacentral:lncRNA from 1 species